rnacentral:rRNA from 1 species
AUGGCGGCCGCGGCGGCAUCCUCCUCCGCCAUUUCUCCCCUCCCUUCUCCUUCCUCCUCGCAGCCCCUCUUCCUCCUCCUCCUCUCCAGGCCGCCGACACCAUCCCGCGUCCGCCUCCGCCUCCGCCUCCACCUCCACCUCCGACACACGCACCUCCUCCCCGUCCGAUCCCGCCCGCAUCGAGCCUCCACCUCCACCCGCUGCUGCUCCUCCUCCGCCGCCGCGUCCUACAACGGCUGGGCCGACCUCCCUGCCGCCGACGACCCGCUGGGCCUCCCCUUCCUCCGCAUCACGCAAUCCCUCGCCGCCGCGCCCUACGGCCUCCCCCUCCUCCUCCUCCCCGUCGCCGCGCUCUCCCUCUCCCGCCUCCCGCCCGCCCCGCUCCUCGCCGCCGUCUUCGCCGCCGGGUUCGCCACCGCCAGGCACCUCGCCCCCGGCGCCCCCUCCAGCCACUGCCUCGCCGCCCUCCUCGCGGAUCUCGACGCCCGCCUCCUCUCCCUCAAGGACCGCCUCCUGGCCGACGACGACGGCGACGACAGGGGCCGCCCCGUCCUCGAGUCCCUCGACCGCGCCCGCGAUGCGCUCCUCGAGUUCGCGGCCGCGGCGGCCGGCCCUGCCCAGACCAACGGCGGCCCCGCCCCGGGAGACGCCGCGCUGGGCGAGGUGGCCAGGGAGGUCGCCGGUUACGUCGGGGGCUGGGCCAAGGCCGCCCUGCGGGAGCUCAGCUUCGCCUCGCCGCGGAAGAAGCCCGCCAAGGCCGUCGCCCCUGAUGCCGCCGCCGCCGCUACGGCCGAUGCCAAGAGUAAUUCAGGCUCUGGUGUAGCUCAUGCCCAGCAAGGGGAUGGGGAACACGAGCCGGCUGAUUCAACGGCCGCCGGAAGUGCCCGGCCGCUCGACAUGCUGCCGUUCGAUGGCAAGGAUGCUGCUGCCAAUGGGUUUGAGGAUGCCGGGUUCAGUUCUGAGAGUGGGCAGGAAGACGACGACCGGCUGGAGAGGCUGGUGUCCAAGCACAGGCAUGGCCACGGCAGCAGGGUGCGAAAUGAUGGUCCCUUUGAAGAAGGCGGCAGGGUGAGGAGCGACGCUCGCUUUGAAGAAGGCGGCAGGUUCGCCGCCGCUGAAUCCGCCGAGUCCUCUUUGCUGGAGAGGACGCUCGAGAUCCGGGACAGGUCGUACAGGCUGAAGAUCGAGCGCCGCGACGGCGGUGAGAGCCGAGCGAGUGGAGCACGGGGGAUGCCAAUUGAUGAAUUUGUGGGCAGUGGCGCCUCCAGUGUUGAUGAGCAACCACUUACAGAUGAUGAUGAGGGUGGUGGUGCUGCCAUGGGUUCAGACGCUGAAGAGUUCAGCCGCAACGUUAAGGAGGCUGCCGAGAUCUUGAGGAAGGCGAGGGAAUGCAUGAUGGCCAGGGACGACGAAGAGGCCGCAGACACGUUGCUGUACAGGUCGGCAAGGCUUCUGUCCACCGCCGUGGCAUUGAGGCCGACAAGCCUGGUAGCGGUCGGUCAGCUAGGGAACACUUACCUCCUCCAUGGAGAGCUGAAGCUCAAGAUUAGCCGCGAGCUGAGGACGCUGCUGGCCAACAGCGGGGCUUAUCUGAAUGGAAGAGAGCGCGUCUCACAGUCCAGGAAGCUGGACAGAAGAAUCCUUAACAGAGAGAGCAUUUCUUCAGCGCUAGUGGGCGUUUGCGAGGAGUGUGAGAGCCUCCUUGUUGAGGCUGGGAGAAGCUAUAGGACGGCUGUGUCAAUUGAUUCGGGUGACGUCAAGGCGCUGUACAAUUGGGGACUGGCGCUUAUCUUUCGUGGCCAACUGCUCGCCGACAUCGGACCGGAAGCAGCAGUUGAUGCUGACCGGGUGUAUUUGGCUGCAAUCGACAAGUUUGAUGCCAUGUUAUCCAAAAGCAACACUUAUGCUCCAGAAGCUCUCUACAGAUGGGGCAGCGCGCUGCAGCAGCGAUCCCAGUUGCGGUCUCGGAACAACAAGGAGAAGAUAAGGCUGCUGGAGCAGGCAAAGAGUCUGUUUGAAGACGUUCUGUAUGUAGAGGGCAACAACAAGAUGGUACGGGAAGCACUGUCCUCGUGCAUAUCAGAGCUUAACUACCAUGGACGAUGGCUACAGUGA